rnacentral:lncRNA from 1 species
GCUUGCUGGUUUGGUGGCUAUUUGUGUGUUAGUGUAUCUCUGGGUUGCGUGCUCAAAUCCUUGUGUGUGCAUUUUGGAGAAAUAUUUUUAUUUUGUUAAAUAGCAAAUUUGUUUUAAGUUUAAGAAUAAUUAUUUUGUUUUAUUUUUAUUAUUUUUAUUUUUACUUUGGUUACAACUUUUCUUUCUUUUCAUGUUCUCCUCUCCCUCUCCUUUGUUCCCCUUUCUUAUUUAUUUAUCUAUUUGUUUUGUUUUGUUUUCCUUUCUGCUUUUGCGAAAAUGGUGUUGUUUGUGGUUUCUGGAGAGCUUCAGUUUUUUUGUCGUCGAGUCGAUGUCUGGACGUCUUUGAUCGCGAAUCAGGUGUUAGUUCAAACUCUCCAACUCCAUUUGUGAUUUGUUGUUUCGAUUAUGUGGAAUUUGAUAUAUUUUAAAUGGAUUGGUGAAUGUGUGGAAGGUUUCGCUUUUAAGUUGCGUAAAACUUGGUUUCCUA